rnacentral:lncRNA from 1 species
UCAUUCAUUACCAAAUCACGUACCUUCGGGAUUUAACCGGAUAUAGCUCCUCGUUCAAAUGCCUUCGGGACAUAGCCCGGUUUUAGUAACUCACACAAUGCCUUCGGGACUUAACCCGGAUUUAAUAACUCGCACGAAUGCCUUCGGGACUUUACCCGGAUUUAGUAUCUCGCACAAAGGCCUUCGGGGCUUAACCCGGAACUUGUAUCUCGCACAAAUGCCUUCGGAUCUUAGUCCGGAUAUAUUCACUUAGCACAAAGCCUUCGGGACUUAGCCCGGACAGCAUUCAAUUAAUCAUGCACAUCUAACAAUAAUUCAUGGCACAUUCAUAUUUCAUUUUCAUUUGCGAAACUCAAACACAAGGCACAUAUCGUCCUUGCACAUUCGGCUCAAUAGCCACACAUAGAGCAUGAUUUAAUCACAUCGUAAUUUAAGCUCUCUUACUCAAGAACUUACCUCGGGUGUUGUCGAACGAUUCCGCUAACUAUUCGACCACUUUUUCCUUCCCUUUAUCGGAUUUAUUUCCCCUUUGCUCUUGAGCUUAAUUAAACAAAUAAAUUGAUUUCAUCAUUUAGGCAUCAAAAAGAUGAACACAAGGCACUUAGCCCAUAUUUAUACAUUAGACAUUAAAGUCUCGUACAUGCAAAAAUCAUGCAUCAACACAACAUAUUAGCUAAUUUCUUUCCCCUUGGCCGAAUAUGCAUGUCUAUUUUUGGGGUCGAUUUCAACACUUAAUACACACAUAUACACACUAGUAAAGCAUCCUCCCCCUUUUCAUCAAUUUAACACAUGCAUUGCUCAUUAACAUGCAAAGUUACAUUCGGCCUUAGCACACAUCUUGCUAGCCGAUUCUUCUCCAUUUAGCAAUCAAUGCACAUAUGUGCUCACACAAAAAUGCUAAAAAGGAGGUUCAAAAAUCAUCAAGCCAUCAUCACAUGCAUCAUUAACAAGCUUCAUAUUUUGCAUGCAAUGGCAUUAACACGACCUCCACCUAGGCCGAAUCUUAACUCAUCCUCAUGCCUCAUCACCACAACAUCAAACAUCAACCAAGAAUGAUGCAUCCAUGGUCAAGUGCCAUUUCCAUCACAUAGCAAGAUUUAGACCAUGGGCUAGGUAGAACUCAAGCUAACAACUAAAACAUGCAUGCAUCUCAUGGAACAUCAUCAAACAUACCUUAGCCUAGCUACAUGCAUGGCCGAAUCUCUUCACCUUUCUUCUUCUUUCCUCCUUAAAAUUUUUGGCCAAGGAUGAACCAAAGGAUGAGAAAUUUUUUUCUUUGUUUUUCUUUCUAAUUUAGGCUAAAUGAAGGUGAGAAAAGGAUGAACAAAGAUCUUCUCCUCUCUUUUUUUUAGCUCACGACAAUGGGGGGGGGAAAAGAAUCAACUACACACUUUCUUUUUUUUUUGUGUAUUCAUCAUGCUCCUUUUCAUUAUUUAAUUUCCAUGCCUAUUAUUUUAUUUUUUUCCACCCAUGAUGCACCAACAAAACAUGUCUAUGACAUGUCUUGGCCAUCAAACUUGGUCUACCAUGCUUGUCAUGGCCGGCCACUACUAGUAGGGGGGGAAUUUGACAUGCAAGUCCCCCCUUUGUCCACAUGCACUAAUAGGUCCUCACACAUUGACCUAUCACAUUUUAGAAUUUUCUCACAUAAGUCAUAUUGACUAAAUUCACAUGAAAUCAACCAAAUUGAAGCUUGAAAUUUUCACACCUUCAUAAUUACAUAUUCUAGACAAUAAGUAUCACAUUCAAACAUUUCGGUGACUCGGUUUAGCGGUCCCGAAACCACUUCCCGACUAGGGUCAACUUUGGGCUGUCACAACUCUCCCCCACUUAAGAAAUUUUCGUCCCCGAAAAUCUUACCGGUAAAUAGGUUUGGGUAUCGUUCUUUCAUCGAGCUCUCGGUCUCCCAAGUAGCUUCCUCGAUCCCGUGUUUGAGCCAUAACACCCUUACUAGCGGAACUCUUUUGUUUCGCAACUCCUUCACUUCACGAGCUAGGAUACACAUCGGUUCUUCUUCAUAGCUCAUGUCGACUUGAAUUUCAACCUCUGAUGGGCUAAUUAUAUGCGAUGGAUCAGAUCGAUAGCGUCGAAGCAUCGAAACAUGAAAGACGUCAUGAAUCUUUUCAAGCUCCGGGGGCAAAAUCAAUCUAUACGCAACCGGACCAACUCGUUCGGAGAUUUCGUACGGCCCAAUGAAUCUUGGGCUCAACUUGCCCUUACGGCCGAACCUGAGUAUCUUUUUCCAAGGUGAAACCUUAAGGAACACUUUGUCUCCCACCUGAUACUCGAUGUCUUUUCGUUUCAAAUCUGCGUACGACUUCUGACGAUCCGUGGCUACCUUCAGACUUUCACGGAUUACCUUUACUUUCUGUUCAGCAUCUUUAACCAAAUCAACUCCGAAAAUUUUACUUUCACCGAGCUCGGUCCAAAACAAUGGUGUACGACAUUUACGACCGUACAAAGCCUCGUAAGGUGCCAUCUUAUUACUUGAUUGAAAACUAUUGUUGUAAGCGAAUUCAAUCAAAGGUAAAUACCGUUCCCAUGAACCACUGAACUCGAGGAUGCAACAUCUCAGCAUAUCCUCGUAAGGCACUUGAUGUUCCGCUUUCACUUGUUGACAUAUUAAACAUCUCGAAACAAAGUCGGAGAUGUCCCGUUUCAUACCAUGCCACCAAAAUUGACGUUUCAAAUCGUUGUACAUUUUCGUACUCCCCGGGUGAAUUGACAUUCGGCUACAAUGGGCUUCGUUCAGAAUCAUCGAAAUGAGUUUCGAAUUUCUUGGAACACACAAACGAUUUUUGAACCUCAAACAAUCACCAUCAUCAAUUUGAAACCCCGAUUCCUCGCUCGGAACACACUUAGCCCGUUUUGCAACCAAUUCAUCAUCGACUUUCUGAGCUUCACGAAUUUGGUGAGUCAAUAAUGGUUUAGCUUUUAAUUCAGCUACUAACACAUUUUCUGGUAGAACAGACAAAUGCACGUUCAUCGCUCGUAAAGCAAACAAUGACUUCCGGCUUAAGGCGUCCGCAACCACGUUAGCCUUUCCCGGGUGGUAAUCAAUGACAAGCUCGUAAUCUUUCAACAACUCAAGCCAACGUCUUUGUCGCAGAUUCAAGUCUCGUCGAGUCAUCAAAUAUUUGAGACUUUUGUGAUCCGAAAAUACAUGGCACUUCUCACCAAACAGAUAAUGUCGCCAUAUUUUUAAAGCAAACACGAUGGCAGCUAGUUUGAGAUCAUGGGUCGGAUAAUUCCUCUCGUGUGGCUUCAAUUGUCUCGACGCAUAGGCCACGACUCGACCUUCUUGCAUCAAUACGCAACCCAACCCAAGUAGGGAUUCGUCACUAUAAAUGACAAACUCUUUACCUGAUUCGGGUUGCACCAAAGUUGGAGCUUCAGUCAAAUGAGUUUUCAGUUGGUCAAAACUUUUCUGACAUUUCUCCGUCCACUCGAACUUAACAUCCUUUUGAAGUAGCUUCGUCAUUGGUGUGGCUAUCAUCGAGAAACCUUUCACAAAUCGUCGGUAAUAACCGGCGAGCCCCAAAAAGCUCCGAACUUCAGUAAUAUUUCUCGGAGGUUUCCAGUCAAGUAUGGCUGAAAUUUUGUUCGGGUCAACACGAAUACCUGACGCGGAUACCACAUGACCCAAGAAGCUAACCUCUCUUAACCAGAACUCACACUUACUGAACUUAGCAUAUAACUGCUUAUCCCGCAAAAUUUGCAGCACUAGCCUCAGAUGCUCAGCAUGUUCGGUCUCAUCUCUUGAAUAGACCAAAAUGUCAUCAAUGAACACAACUACGAACCGAUCCAAAUACGGUCUGAAGAUCCGAUUCAUCAAAUCCAUAAAUACCGCAGGGGCAUUAGUGAGCCCAAACGGCAUCACUAAGAAUUCGUAGUGACCAUAUCUCGUUCUGAAGGCAGUUUUGGGAAUAUCUGAAUCUCGAAUUCGCAACUGAUAAUAGCCCGAUCUCAAAUCUAUUUUUGAGAACACUGAGGCUCCUUUCAGUUGGUCGAACAAAUCAUCGAUGCGCGGCAACGGAUAUUUGUUCUUUAUCGUCACUUUAUUCAGCUGACGAUAGUCAAUGCACAACCUCAUGGUUCCGUCCUUCUUUUUCACGAACAAUACUGGUGCACCCCAAGGUGAAAAACUUGGUCGAGCGAGACCUCUAUCCGUCAGUUCUUGCAACUGAGCUUUCAACUCCUUUAACUCGGUUGGUGCCAUACGAUACGGAGCUAUCGAAAUCGGCGUAGUCCCAGGUACAAGCUCAAUACCAAACUCUACCUCCCGAACAGGUGGUAAACCCGGUAAUUCUUCCAGAAAAACAUCCGGGUAUUCACAAACCACCGGCACAGAUUCGGGUUUCUUUUCUAAUUCUUUGUCAUCAAGUACAUACGCAAGGUAUGCUUCGCACCCUUUUCUUACAUAUUUCUGUGCCAACAUUGCUGAUAUUACAGCUGGCAUCCCCUCCAAGUCUGCAGACUCAAUUCGGAUUACUUCGUUAUUUGCGCACCUCAAAUCAAUAGUCUUGCUCUUGCAAUUCACAACCGCAUCAUGCGCGAUCAACCAAUCCAAACCAAGGAUAACAUCAAAUUCAUCAAACGGCAAAAGCAUCAAGUUCGCCGGAAAACAAAAACCUCGAAUUUCCAGGGGACAUUUCUUACACACUUUGUCGACAAGCACAUAACGACCCAAGGGAUUUGACACCCGAAUUACGAACUCAGUAGACUCAAUAGGUAAAGUCUUACUGGAUGCUAAGGUUUCACAUAUGUAAGAAUGAGUAGAACCGGGGUCAAUCAAAGCAAUUACAUUAGUAUCAAAGAGAGUGAAUGUAUCGGUAAUAACAUCAGGCGAGGAAGCAUCCUCGCGGGCACGUAUAGCAUAAGCUCUAGUAGGCGCACGAGCUUCGGAUCUGGUUAUAUCAUCUCUAGAUCCUCUCUGACCACCACUAGCAUUGCCCGUAUUUCCAGAUGGUCUACCUCGAGCAGUGGUAGCACCCGGUUUCCCACUCUGAUUUUUAUUCUGUUCAAACAACCUCGGGCAAUCUUUAAUGAAGUGGUCAACUGAUCCGCACUUGUAACAGGAGCGGUCAGGGAAUCUACAACUCCCCGAAUGCCAUUUACCGCAAUAUCGACAUUUCGUUCUAUCUCGAUGUUCAUUCCCAACACUGGCGACCGAAGUGCCUCGUGUACCCACAGGGGGUCGAUCACGAUCUCGUCUAAAAAGGCCCGAAGUGCCUCUAAACUGGCCCGCAUCAUCUCGAAAUCUCUUCGAUGUCUAUUGAAGAGACCGUCCCGAGGAUCUUUUACGAAACUCUCCAGUUCCCUCAUCAACUCUUUGCUUUUCUUUUCUAAGCUCUUCGGCUUUACAAGCUCGUUCAACAAGUACCACGAACUCUCGUAUUUCAAGAACGCCAACGAACAUUUUUAUAUCUUCAUUCAGCCCAUCCUCGAAGCGUUUACACAUAAUAGCUUCGGACGAAACACAUUCCCGAGCGUAUUUGCUAAGUCUAACAAAUUUUCGCUCGUAAUCAGUAACCGACAUGGAGCCUUGCUUAAGCUCAAGAAAUUCCUUCCGUUUUUGAUCAACAAAUCUCUGACUGAUAUACUUUUUCCGAAACUCAGUUUGGAAAAACUCCCAAGUUACUUGCUCUCGGGGCACAACAGAAGUCAGAGUACUCCACCAAUAGUAGGCAGAAUCACGUAGCAAGGAGAUAGCACACUUUAGGCAUUCAUCGGGUGUACAAGAUAGCUCAUCGAGUACCCGGAUAGUGUUGUCCAACCAAAAUUCAGCUUGCUCGGCAUUGUCGCUAUCCGUAGCUUUAAAUUCAGUAGCCCCAUGUUUUCGGAUUCUAUCAACUGGGGGCUUAUUUGACCUUAUUUGGUCAGUUACCGGAGGUAUUGUAGGUGCGGGGGUAGUAUUUGUCAGGAAUGGAGGUUGUGGAACAGCCAUAUUAGUUCGAAUGUAUUGGUUGAACCAAUCAUUCAUCACGCUAUAGAAUGCUUGUCUAGCUUCAUCAUUCGGAUUACUAGCAUUAGGUUGAGAGUCCGCCGGCGCUGUCCCUUGUGCGGGAGCAGGCGCUACACUCUCAAGAUCAUCAGCUACCUCUCGGUUACGAUCGGGAUCCAUUACCAUAAAUAAACACAUUUACAAUUGUCAGAAAUCACCACACUAUCAAGUAAUCACAUAAAAUGGCAUGUAUAGCUAGACCCAACACAUUACGGUAGUCCUAGAAUCGACUAAACCGUAGCUCUGAUACCAAUAAAAUGUAACACCCCGAACCCGAGUCCGACACCGGAGUCGAACACGAGGUGUUAACAAACUUUGAAAAAUUUCCAGACACUGCCCAAUCUGUGUACUAGUCGCUUUAAAAAUCAUAUCUUGAGUUUCACAACUCGAAAAUCAGUUUCGUAAUUUUUCCCUGAAACUAGACUCAUAUUCCCAUCUACAUAUUUUUUUCUAGAAUUUUUGGUCGGGCCAAUUAAUACAUUUUAUUAGUCAAAAUCUCCCAUGUUACAGGGAUCGACUACCCUGACCUUUGCGCAUUACACCUUGAAUAUCUCUCUGCACAGAGCUUCAAUACUGAUGCCGUUUGUUUCUUUGGAAACUAGACUCAGAGAGGAAUCCAUACAUAUAUAGUAUGACUCCUAAUUAUCUCUGGUAAAUUUAUAGUGAAUUUCCAAAGUCGGAAUAGGAAAUCCAGAAACUGUUCUGGCCCUGUCCCACAAGAACCUGAAUAUCUCUUACUGUACUGUUCAUAUGAUUGUUUCGUUACUUUCAUAUGAAAGUAGAUUCAUCAAGGUUCGAUUAAAUAAUUUAUUCACUAUUUAAUUCCACUCCUACGAAUUCUUGUGAUUUUUCCAAUCCACACCACUGCUGCUGUCAGCCUCUAUUUUCAGAGUAAACCUUACCUAUUUUCGGGGUUUCAUGGACCAACUAGGGCCUUGUCAUACAUAUGCCCACAUAUGAUCAUACUUAGCCAUUCCAAUGGCUGAUCAUUUGCUCAACACUUCCAUUCCAACUAUAGUUACAUCAUGAAACCAUCUAUACAUUCAUAAACACGAAUGGUCUAAUGCCAUACUCCACUUCUACAAGCCAUUUUCGCAUGGCUGUACACUUAUACAUUUCAUAAAGUACUCGAAAAACAACAAUGGGUAGUCCUAUACAUGCCAUAUCAAAAUUCAACCAAAAUAGUACCCAAAAGAGCCUUUGAUAGUGUGGGCGACUUCGACUUCAAGAUCCCGAGUCCGAUAGCUGGAGAACCAAAAAUCUAUAAAACAGAGGAGCAGUGUAACGAGUAAGCAAUUUAUGCUUAGUAAGUUUUGAGCAAGGAAUUCCAGCAUAAACAAAGAAUAACACACGUUUAGCUAAACGGAAUAUUUCAUAAUACGCAAUUUACCGAUAUCAAACUUGCUUCACAACAUUAACCACCAUUAUGUACAUACACAAUAGACUAACUUAGCCGAAGGCCGGUAACUCGUUUAUCAACUGAGCGAACAUUUAUUUGUAAGGGCUCGAUUAAAUUCAACACAUACGUAACAUAUCCCCAUAUUGGGAUGUUUUUCGUGUAUUCGCUGGAAUUUUACAGCAAGCUCAUUCAUUACCAAAUCACGUACCUUCGGGAUUUAACCGGAUAUAGCUCCUCGUUCAAAUGCCUUCGGGACAUAGCCCGGUUUUAGUAACUCACACAAUGCCUUCGGGACUUAACCCGGAUUUAAUAACUCGCACGAAUGCCUUCGGGACUUUACCCGGAUUUAGUAUCUCGCACAAAGGCCUUCGGGGCUUAACCCGGAACUUGUAUCUCGCACAAAUGCCUUCGGAUCUUAGUCCGGAUAUAUUCACUUAGCACAAAGCCUUCGGGACUUAGCCCGAACAGCAUUCAAUUAAUCAUGCACAUCUAACAAUAAUUCAUGGCACAUUCAUAUUUCAUUUUCAUUUGCGAAACUCAAACACAAGGCACAUAUCGUCCUUGCACAUUUGGCUCAAUAGCCACACAUAGAGCAUGAUUUAAUCACAUCGUAAUUUAAGCUCUCUUACUCAAGAACUUACCUCAGGUGUUGUCGAACGAUUCCGCUAACUAUUCGACCACUUUUUCCUUCCCUUUAUCGGAUUUAUUUCCCCUUUGCUCUUGAGCUUAAUUAAACAAAUAAAUUGAUUUCAUCAUUUAGGCAUCAAAAAGAUGAACACAAGGCACUUAGCCCAUAUUUAU